UAUGGUCUGUAGCCUGUUCAGAGAGGAUAAAAGAGACAGAUACCAGCUGGAUGGACUUUCUCUGGGCAGCCAUGCUGGGAACUCUCUUAUGGUCAGGGGAAGCACAGCUGCAAUAACAGCAGGUGGAGAUGGGGCGCGAUCUGCUGCACCUGGGAUUCCUUGUCACAGUUCUCCAGCAGCUAGAACCUGAACGUGGAACAACUUGGUCAUCUGGCUGGUCGGUUUGGAAUCCUUGAGACUUCUUUGUGUUCUGCAUCUGCCACCUGUAGCAGUUGCUCUGUCGAUUGUUCCUGCUGAGGAACAAAGUGUGGGUGCUGAUGGUUUCUGCUGAGCUCUUCACCGUCAGUCUCGAUCACAUAGGAUCUAGGCACUUUUUAUGACAGCGGGCGUUGUCCAUCCUUUUUCUCCAUCUGAUUUGGCGUGAACACGGUCACCAGGUUCUAGACCCAGCAAUUCUCUAACCGAGCGAGGUCUGUUGUAUAAGUGUUCCCAAGCUCUUUUAGCUUUUUUAAUCUGAUUUGGCUACUCUCUUCAUGC